rnacentral:lncRNA from 1 species
UAGGAUUACAGGUGUGAGCCACCACGCCCGGCUAAGGCCUUUAUUAUACUAUGGUUCCUACUGUUUUUUAAAAUACUUUUAUUAAGUCCAACAUUUUUAUUAAGAACAUUGCUUUUAUACAUGCCUAUUUAUGAAAGGGGUUUUCGAGUGUUUACCACUUUUUAUUAGAAAUAGAGACAGUAAGAAUGUUUGACUUAAUUGACACAGGCAUAAUUGAAUGGGUAUAAAUGGCAUGCCAUAGAAAGAGAAAAUUAAGUUGAGCUACUCUGUUGGUUUCACUGAUGAGGGGAUACAUCAUUCAAACAGCCAGGAAUUAAAUCCGUCCAGCUCACAAAUGGGGAAACCAGCUGUGUCUGUACCCAUGGCCAGCCAGACUGAACACAAAUCAGGAAAGUCAGUAACUUUUCCUCAGUUCUGAGGGACUUCAGUGGCUGCGGUUCAUUUUCCUUUUGCUUCUGAAACAGUGCAAGUUGAUGCUCGCCUGGACAGAGCGGCAGUGAGUGGUGGCGUCUGAAGGCCAGGUCUCUGUUGAGAUGACAACACGUCGUCUCCCAGUGCCCAAUGCAUAGAAAAGAUACACUACUAAGUGUGAGAUGCUCAGUGAAAAAUAAAAUCUGGGGUUGAAUCAUCAUGGGGGAUACUGCAUACUCUGUUUCCCCCCUGCAGAUUUCCAAUGCUCAUUAGUUUAUAGAGACUCUGAGAAUUCCUACAGCAAAGGCACCUGCCGAGGUACUUACAAACUAGUUUAGCUAAACCAGACUUUCAACAAUUGGUUACUAAAGACCACUCAAAGUCUGUCAACACUCUGUCAUCUCUAUGUAAUGAUAGAAACAUAGAAAUUCAGGGUAAAUGUUUAGAAAUUUCUAUAGAAACUUGACAUUCUCCCAGCAUGUGACAUCAGGGGACUUGUCUCAAUGAGCAGUUACAGACCAACUCAGGUUUUGUCAGACUCGAUGGAAAGAUGCAGAGGCUGUGAGCUGCAAACGAGUCACAUACACAAGGACCACAUUGCAAGCUGCGUUCUUUAAGGUUAGUUUGUCAACUAUAGUAUAAUCUCACACAUCUGAAAAAUGGGAACAUCUAUUCUAUAAAGUCUUAUUUUUGCAAUAUUAAUUUUAAAUCAAGCCAAUGUUAGCAUUAUUAGUGAAAACAAAAGAAAGUUGUAUUAUUUAUUAUUAAACCUAAUUUGAGAGUGAAAUAAAUUGUAUUAAUUUUUUUAACCAAUAAAAGAUGCACCUUGUAAACCAAGAGAUGAUUAUGAAAGUGAUUCUGAGGACAUGAAGACCAAAGGAGUUUGUCCUCGUUUUACUCAGAAGUACUAUUUCUAAUGGACAGAUGAUCCCUGACAUACAAUGGUUUGACUUAUAAUUUUUUGACUUUAUGAUGGUGUGAAAGUGAUACGCAUUCAGCAGAAACCAUACUUCAGUAUUCAAUAAAUUACAUGAGAUAUUCAACACUUUAAAGUGGGUUUGUGAGAGAGAAUUUUUGCCCAAUGGAAGGUGAAUGUAAAUUUUCUGAGAAUGUUUAAGGUAAGCUAGGCUAAGCUAUGAUGUUAGCUUAGGUGUAUUAAAUGCAUUUUAAUUUAAUUUAAUUUAAUUUUAUGUUUUGAGACAGUGUGUUUUGUUCUUGUCACCCAGGCUGGAGUGCAAUGGCAUGAUCUCGGCUCACUGCGACCUCUGCCUCUUGGGUUCAAGCGAUUUUCUUGCCUCAGCCUUCGCAGUAGCUGGGAUUACAGGUGCGCACCAACAUGCCUGGCUAGCAUAACUGAAGGUGAAAGGACAGAAUCACCGUGUGUUACUGGCACAGAUGCAUCGGCUAGUGAAGAAAGAAGACAUUCAAACUGUAAGUUGCAUUCACGUGGGAAGCACAAAGAAUUAAAUUCAAAACAAUGAAACAUUAGAGAAAAGCAUGGAGUUAAAACACAACAGAAUCAGAUGUUUACUAUUUCUCAUUUUAACACUAGUGCUUUGCGGGCUUCUAAUAAAGUUGUACUCCAGGAGGCUAAGACUGAAAAGUGACACUAGUGAAAAGUAGCAUUGAAAUAGUUCCUAGAAAAGUUGGGUGAAUGUGGGGCAAAGAUGCUACUAAACUUUAAUUUUCCAUCGACACACAAAUUCAAAGUUUUCCAGAACUGGCAAGUAAAAUGGAAGAUCCACUCACAGGACACAUGCAGUGUGUGAGGGGAAUGCUUUUCAGCACUUCUUGAUGGAUGCACAAAUAAUGCCAACGUGGUAAAUGUCUUUGGUAAAUGUGCAAUGGAAUGUAGUGGUUGUGUGAAGGAAGAAUUUUGUUUUCUGCUUCAUUUUUGAUAAACACAAGCAGCUCUGGACUGUGUGAAACCAUGGAGCACUGCACAGUUAACAGAGGUGGUUUGGAGUUUUUUAGCUUUGCAUAAGAGGAUGUUCUGAUGCAGAAUCUACAGUGACAGGAAACCAUUCUGGACAAGUUACAGAAUUAAGGGGCUUGUGCCGGGAUGGAAAUAAAUCAAUGACUUCUGUCUUUGAGAAGGUUUUUCUCUGCUCCUCUGUGAUGGUU